CUGGUACUCCCUCCGUCCGAAAAAGCUUGUCCCAAGCUUGUCGCUCAAAUGGAUGUAUCUAGCACUAACUUGGUGCUAGAUACAUCCAUUUGAGGGACAAGGUUUUUCGGACGGAGGGAGUAUAAG
rfam:Triticum aestivum genome assembly, contig: Triticum_aestivum_CS42_TGACv1_scaffold_225601_3B